UCCGAAUUGGUGUAGUGGUUAACAUGGGGCGCUCUCAAAGAAGUGGAUCCGCCCUGCCCGGGGUUCGAUUCCCCGAUUCGGAG
rnacentral:tRNA from 1 species